rnacentral:misc_RNA from 1 species
AAGUCGUAACAAGGUUUCCGUAGGUGAACCUGCGGAAGGAUCAUUAAUGAAGUUUUUUUGGGGUUUUAAUCUCAAAAAAUAAUUCACCUUUUGUGCAUUGUUAUUAGAAAUACUUUGGUUAGAGCUUUGAUUUCAUUUAAUGGAAUCAACUUCUUGCUAACUCUAUCCUUUCUGAGGACAGUUGGCUAUGAAGCGACCUACCAAGGUUUUUUAUCAAACUCUUGUAUUUUGUCUGACCUAAAUAUCAAUAAUUAAAUCAUAACUUUCAACAACGGAUCUCUUGGCUCUC